GGGUUAGUAGGUUGGUCAUGCCUCUGGUAUGUACUGAUCUCACUGAUUCCUCCCUCUUGACGAACUGUAAUGUCAUUAAUUUGGUGUUGCAGGAAAUCAGGACUGUUACUUUGAAAAAAUUAGAGUGUUUAAAGCAGGCUAAGGCUUGAAUACAUUAGCACGGAAUAAUGAAAUAGGACGUUUGAUCCUAUUUUGUUGGUUUCUAGGAUUGACGUAAUGAUUAAUAGGGAUAGUUGGGCUGAGACUGGCCAAGGGCACACAGGGGGGAU
rnacentral:rRNA from 1 species